GAUGAACGCUGGCGGCGUGCCUAAUACAUGCAAGUCGAGCGAACAGACGAGGAGCUUGCUCCUCUGACGUUAGCGGCGGACGGGUGAGUAACACGUGGAUAACCUACCUAUAAGACUGGGAUAACUUCGGGAAACCGGAGCUAAUACCGGAUAAUAUAUUGAACCGCAUGGUUCAAUAGUGAAAGACGGUUUUGCUGUCACUUAUAGAUGGAUCCGCGCCGCAUUAGCUAGUUGGUAAGGUAACGGCUUACCAAGGCGACGAUGCGUAGCCGACCUGAGAGGGUGAUCGGCCACACUGGAACUGAGACACGGUCCAGACUCCUACGGGAGGCAGCAGUAGGGAAUCUUCCGCAAUGGGCAAAAGCUUGACGGAGCAACGCCGCGUGAGUGAUGAAGGUCUUCGGAUCGUAAAACUCUGUUAUUAGGGAAGAACAAAUGUGUAAGUAACUAUGCACGUCUUGACGGUACCUAAUCAGAAAGCCACGGCUAACUACGUG
rnacentral:rRNA from 1 species